AUUCACUUCAGUAGCACAUAUGCUAAAUUUGGAACAAUAGAGAGCAGAUAAGCAUUACCCCUGCACAGAAAUGAUCAAAUGUGUGAAGUAUUCCAUAUUUUU